GACGGGGGGGGCAAGUGUUCUUCGGAAUGACUGGGCGUAAAGGGCACGUAGGCGGUUUAUCGGGUUGAAAGUGAAAGUCGCCAAAAAGUGGCGGAAGGCUCUCGAAACCAAUUCACUUGAGUGAGACAGAGGAGAGUGGAAUUUCGUGUGUAGGGGUGAAAUCCGUAGAUCUACGAAGGAACGCCAAAAGCGAAGGCAGCUCUCUGGGUCCCUACCGACGCUGGGGUGCGAAAGCAUGGGGAGCGAACAGG
rnacentral:rRNA from 1 species